rnacentral:rRNA from 1 species
CCUACGGGAGGCAGCAGUGAGGAAUAUUGGUCAAUGGGGGAAGCCCGAACCAGUCAAGGCGAGUGAGGGAAUAAGGCCCUACGGGUCGUAAACCUCUUUUGCCGGGGAGCAAGGGCGGGGACGUGUCCCGGCCCGGAGAGUACCCGGAGAAAAAGCAUCGGCUAACGCCGUGCCAGCAGCCGCGGUAAUACGGAGGAUGCGAGUGGUAUCCGGAUUUGUUGGGUUAAAAGGGUGGGUCGGCGGGCUUUUAAGUCAGCGGUAAAAAUUCGGGGCUCAACCCCGCCCGGUCGUUGAAACGGGGGUCCUUGAGUGGGCGAGAAGAAGGCUGAAUGCGUGGGGUAGCGGUGAAAUGCAUAGAUAUCACGCAGAACCCCGAGUGCGAAGGCAGACUUCCGGCGCCCUACUGACGCUGAGGCACGAAAGUGCGGGGAUCGAACAGGAUUAGAUACCCGGGUAGUC